GGCACCUACCCCACUAUAAAAUAUCUGUUGACAUUUGUGGUUUGGGGCUGGGUUGGAUUAGUUGCUGUUUCAUCUUAUUCACCCACUGCAUGUAGCAAGAAGUGAAACACACUUCUACCCUGAUUCCCCCUCUCAUAUCUUCUACCCUCCAGGCCAAUCUAUAUGUGUCCUCUGCAGAAUGGAAAGAUUUAAAAACAGCUACUCCAUCUUGCUGUACAACCUUAGCCAAGGCAUGUAACCUCUGUCUCUGUUCCCUUGCCCAUGUGAAAUUGUUGUAAGGAUAAUGAUAAAGAAGAGGAAGUCAACAGUGGCUAACAUUUAUCCCUUGCUCACAAUGAACCAGACACCAAGCUAUGUGACUUUACCUGAAUGGUCUCAAUCAGUCUUCACACAAGCCUGCAAGAUGUGACUUGCUCCUUCUUGCCUUCCGCCAUGAUUGUGAGGCCUCCCCAGCCAUGUGGAACUGUCAGUCAAUUAAACCUCUUUCCUUUAUAAUCACCCAGUCUCAGGUAUGUCUUUAUCAGCAGUGUGGAAAUGAACUAAUACAACCAUCCUUCUUUGUCAAGGGAUAAAUCUAAUAAAACUGAAAGGAAAUUGGUGUUCAUUGUCACUAGUCCUUGAGACCAUCUCCCAAAACAUGAACUAAACCUAGAGGAAUGUCAGAGCCAAAAGCACCUAUGGCCACCUCACCAUUUCCUGGAUUGUGUUCCAGGGAGCACCAGUCCUACAAAUGCUCUGAGAUCACAUACACUGAGGGAAUAGGACAUCCAGGAGCCUCCUUUUGGUGAGUCACAAGGCACUGAAACAAUCA
rnacentral:lncRNA from 10 species